CGGGGGGGUAACACCUGGAAACAGAUMCUAAUACCGUAUAACAGAGAAAACCGCAUGGUUUUCUUUUAAAAGAUGGCUCUGCUAUCACUUCUGGAUGGACCCGCGGCGUAUUAGCUAGUUGGUGAGGUAAAGGCUCACCAAGGCAGUGAUACGUAGCCGACCUGAGAGGGUAAUCGGCCACAUUGGGACUGAGACACGGCCCAGACUCCUACGGGAGGCAGCAGUAGGGAAUCUUCCACAAUGGACGCAAGUCUGAUGGAGCAACGCCGCGUGAGUGAAGAAGGGUUUCGGCUCGUAAAGCUCUGUUGUUAAAGAAGAACGUGGGUAAGAGUAACUGUUUACCCAGUGACGGUAUUUAACCAGAAAGCCACGGCUAACUACGUGCCAGCAGCCGCGGUAAUACGUAGGUGGCAAGCGUUAUCCGGAUUUAUUGGGCGUAAAGCGAGCGCAGGCGGUCUUUUAAGUCUAAUGUGAAAGCCUUCGGCUCAACCGAAGAAGUGCAUUGGAAACUGGGAGACUUGAGUGCAGAAGAGGACAGUGGAACUCCAUGUGUAGCGGUGAAAUGCGUAGAUAUAUGGAAGAACACCAGUGGCGAAGGCGGCUGUCUGGUCUGCAACUGACGCUGAGGCUCGAAAGCAUGGGUAGCGAACAGGAUUAGAUACCCUGGUAGUCCAUGCCGUAAACGAUGAUUACUAAGUGUUGGAGGGUUUCCGCCCUUCAGUGCUGCAGCUAACGCAUUAAGUAAUCCGCCUGGGGAGUACGACCGCAAGGUUGAAACUCAAAAGAAUUGACGGGGGCCCGCACAAGCGGUGGAGCAUGUGGUUUAAUUCGAAGCUACGCGAAGAACCUUACCAGGUCUUGACAUCUUCUGACAGUCUAAGAGAUUAGAGGUUCCCUUCGGGGACAGAAUGACAGGUGGUGCAUGGUUGUCGUCAGCUCGUGUCGUGAGAUGUUGGGUUAAGUCCCGCAACGAGCGCAACCCUUAUUACUAGUUGCCAGCAUUAAGUUGGGCACUCUAGUGAGACUGCCGGUGACAAACCGGAGGAAGGUGGGGACGACGUCAAAUCAUCAUGCCCCUUAUGACCUGGGCUACACACGUGCUACAAUGGAUGGUACAACGAGUCGCGAGACCGCGAGGUUAAGCUAAUCUCUUAAAACCAUUCUCAGUUCGGACUGUAGGCUGCAACUCGCCUACACGAAGUCGGAAUCGCUAGUAAUCGCGGAUCAGCAUGCCGGGGGGAAUACGUUUCCCGGGCCUUGUACACACCGCCCGUCACMMMAUGAGAGUU
rnacentral:rRNA from 1 species